CCUGUGCUGCUGUGCCUCCUUCUCCCUGUGUCCCAGUGUUUGCUCUCUUCUUCCCAGGAGCCGCUAUGUCCAGGUGCGGAAGUGUGCGGCCAAACUCCUCCUGUCCUUGAUGGGGAAAAUUGGAGUCACGAAGCUCGCAGACACACCCAGGGCUGAGAGCCUGGCACAGGUGGCAGGGAAGCUUGCUCAGGACUGUCACAAGGACACAAGGCACUAUGGACAGGAGAUGGUGAAGAUGUUGCUAAAUCAUCAAAAAUUUAAAAGGCUUUUGGAGCAAUCUGUUUCUACCAUGACCUGGAAGAUAUUCUGUCAAGAAUUAAGAAGAAAGAGAUGGAAAACCAGAAGAGUGAAGGCCCAUCUAGCUAGCUAG
rnacentral:lncRNA from 1 species